UACGAAGGGGGCGAGCGUUGUUCGGAAUUACUGGGCGUAAAGGGCGCGUAGGCGGGCUGUCAAGUCUGGGGUGAAAUGCUGCGGCUCAACCGUAGAACUGCCUUAGAUACUGACGGCCUCGAGGAAGGUAGGGGCAUGCGGAACUGUAGGUGGAGCGGUGAAAUGCGUUGAUAUCUACAGGAACUCCGGUGGCGAAAGCGGCGUGCUGGACCUUUUCUGACGCUGAGGCGCGAAAGCUAGGGGAGCAAACGGG
rnacentral:rRNA from 1 species